rnacentral:rRNA from 1 species
GAUGAACGCUGGCGGCGUGCCUAAUACAUGCGAGUCGAGCGACCAGAUGAGGAGAUUGCUCCUCUGCCGUUAGCGGCGGACGGGCGAGUAACACGUGGAUAACCUACCUCUAAUACUGGGAUAACUUCGGGAAACCGCAGAUACUACUGGCUCAUAUAUCGAACCGCAUGGUUCAAUAGUGAUAGACGGUUUUGGUGUUACUUUUAGAUGGUUCCGCGCCGCAUUAGCUAGUUGGUAAGGUAACGGCUUACCAAGGCAACGAUGCGUAGCCGACCUGAGAGGGUGAUCAGCCACACUGGAACUGAGACACGGUCCAGACUCCUACGGGAGGCAGCAGUAGGGAAUCUUCCGCAAUGGGCGAAAGCCUGACGGAGCAACGCCGCGUGGGUGAAGAAGGUCUUCGGAUCGUAAAGCCCUGUUAUUAGGGAAGAACAAAUGUGUAAGUAAAUACGCACGUUUUGACGGUACGUAAACAGAAAGCAACGGCUAACUACGUG